UACGUAGGGGGCAAGCGUUGUCCGGAUUUAUUGGGCGUAAAGAGCGUGUAGGCGGCCAGGUAGGUGGGUUGUGAAAACUGGAGGCUCAACCUCCAGACGUCGACGGAAACCGUGUGGCUAGAGUCCGGAAGAGGAGAGUGGAAUUCCUAGUGUAGAGGUGAAAUUCGUAGAUAUUAGGAAGAACACCAGUGGCGAAGGCGGCUCACUGGUCCGGUACUGACGCUGAGGUGCGAAAGCGUGGGGAGCAAACAGG
rnacentral:rRNA from 1 species